rnacentral:lncRNA from 1 species
GUUGUAAGGCACAGAAGUAAAAAUUAAAUGGAAUUCUUUUUUUAUGAGAAAUGUAGCAUACAAUCCGUUUUGUUUAUUUUUUUUAAAAAAAAUUUAUCUGAAAAUAUAAAUCAAUUAAAAUUUGAACUUGUGAUCUCGGAUACCAUUCACUGAACCCUUAGCUAAAUUAAAGGAGAUUCGAGUUCUAGAAGUAUAGACUUCGGGAUAAGAGUUGUACAGACACAAGAUCCCGAUUUUGAA